GAUUAACGCUAGCGGCAGGCAUAAUACAUGCAAGUUGAACGGCAGCACAGGUAGCAAUACUGGGUGGCGAGUGGCGCACGGGUGCGUAACACGUAUGCAACCUACCCUAUACAGGCGAAUAACCUUUAGAAAUGAGGGCUAAUACGCCGUAGUAUUACAGAUGGGCAUCUAUUUGUAAUUAAAGAUUUAUCGGUAUAAGAUGGGCAUGCGUCCCAUUAGUUAGUUGGUAAGGUAACGGCUUACCAAGACGAUGAUGGGUAGGGGAUCUGAGAGGACUUACCCCCACACUGGUACUGAGACACGGACCAGACUCCUACGGGAGGCAGCAGUAAGGAAUAUUGGGCAAUGGCCGCGAGGCUGACCCAGCCAUGCCGCGUGCAGGAAGACGGCCUUAUGGGUUGUAAACUGCUUUUAUACGGGAAUAAUAGAGUGUACGCGUACAUUUAUGCAAGUAUCGUAUGAAUAAGCAUCGGCUAACUCCGUG
rnacentral:rRNA from 1 species